ensembl:lncRNA
GAUUUUUUCUUGCAGAGUUUUUGCAAGCCUACAACACCGAAUCUCAAACACCACAGUGACCGAUCAGCUGGACUUAUGUGGAAGGAUGGCUGACCCAGGGAGGUCAUGUUUAUCUCUAAGAGAGGGGAGCAAGUGUCUCCUAAAGGCCUGUUGGAGCUGGUAAAAUGGGCCCGACGACAUGGACACCUUACGGAGGUGGCACUGAUAUGCAGUGUUUCUGAAUGGCGUGAUAUAGGAGAUCAGAUGUGGGACUGUAUGAUAUCUGGGGGGAAGGAUGAGAAGUUGCUGAAGCCUCUGGGACCGCUGUGGCGUGCUGUUGCCAACACCUUGAAGGCCAUGCAGGCGGAACAGCAGGUCGCAGCAGCAGCCAUGCAUGCUUUAUCGGGGACAGCCAUUCCAUCUACCUCUUUAAUGGAGACCCCAGUGAAGGGACUCACACACCCUGUUUGUUCAUCUGCUGCGGAGCUUAAGGCUGCAGUAGGAGACUCUGAGUUGGAGGCAGCUGAAGGGGAGGCAGCCCCCCCCUCCUAAGCUGAUUGUGCAGCAACCGGUCACUCCUCCUGCCCCUAAAGAGGAGAGUGAAUCAGGCAGCGACUCAGAGGAUGAUUCUAAGGACUUGGAAGCACUAACUGAAAGGCUGCAGCGCCUGGAGGUUCGGGUGUGUGACAAGAUAAAGGAG